UACAGAGGGUGCGAGCGUUGUUCGGAAUUACUGGGCGUAAAGCGUGCGUAGGCGGUUUCUUAAGUCUGCUGUGAAAGCCCUGGGCUCAACCUGGGAAUGGCGGUGGAUACUGAGAAGCUGGAGUACGGUAGAGGAAGGUGGAAUUCCCGGUGUAGCGGUGAAAUGCGUAGAGAUCGGGAGGAACAUCAGUGGCGAAGGCGGCCUUCUGGACCAGUACUGACGCUGAGGCACGAAAGCGUGGGGAGCAAACAGG
rnacentral:rRNA from 1 species